UUCCGAUUCCUUACAGAAAUCACCGGACUUUUCACAAGUCCCAAAUCUUGAAGAGUUGAUAUUGGUAUGGUGUAAGAGUUUGUCCGAGAUUCACCCCUCCAUUGGUCAUCUUGAAAGACUGACUUUGGUGAACCUUACAAGAUGUUGCAAGCUUAUUUCUCUUCCAAGGGAUUUCUAUAAGUCAAAAUCUGUUGAGACUCUUCUUCUUAAUGGAUGUUCAAAAUUCAUAGAACUGCAUGAGGAUAUAGGGCAGAUGAUAUCACUGAGAACACUUGAAGCAUAUAAAACAGCCAUAAGAGAAGUACCACCUUCCAUAGUAAGAAUGAAGAAUCUCACUCGUUUAUCCCUUGAUAAGUACUGCAUCAGCGUAGAGCUCAAAGGAGAAUACAAAUAUAUAGGUUGGGACCUAUGCCCUUUAAAGUCCAUACCAGAUGACUUUUUUAAUCAAGAUAAACUAGUUGUUUUAGAGAUGAACUAUAGUAGACUGGUACAAGUUUGGGAGGGUUCCAAGGUACAAUGAAUUACACCUGAUGAUGUUCUGUUUCUAUUUGUUUUUUGGAUUUCUUCUCUCUUUUUUAUUUUUAUUUUUAUAACAGCUUCAUUUCGGAUAUUAAUUUCAAUUUUCUUUUGAUUUUCUGCAACAGUCGUUUCGUAACCUGAAAACCCUUGAUCUCAGCCAUUCCUAUUCCCUACAGAAAUCACCGGACUUUUCACAAGUCCCAAAUCUUGAAGAGUUGAUAUUGAAAUGGUGUAAGAGUUUGUCCGAGAUUCACCACUCCAUUGGUCAUCUUGAAAGACUUUCUUUGGUGAACCUUACAAGAUGUUGCAAGCUUAUUUCUCUUCCAAGGGAUUUCUAUAAGUCAAAAUCUGUUGAGACUCUUCUUCUUAAUGAUUGUUAUGAAUUCAGAGAACUGCAUGAGGAUAUAGGGGAGAUGUUAUCACUGAGAACACUUGAAGCAGAGAAAACAGCCAUAAGAGAAGUACCACCUUCCAUAGUAGGAUUGAAGAAUCUCACUCGUUUAUCCCUUGACCGCAUCAGCGUAGAGCUCAAUGGAGAAUACAAAUAUCUUCCCAAAGAGCUAAUAACGUUGUGGUGGGAAGGAUGCCCUUUAAAGUCCAUACCAGAUGACUUUUUUAAUCAAGAUAAACUAGUUGUUUUAGGGAUGCAGUUUAGCGAACUGGUACAAGUUUGGAAGGGUUCCAAGGUACAAUGAAUACACCUGAUGAUGUUAUGUUUCUGUUUGUUUUUUGGAUUUCCUUUUAUUUUUUAUUAAUGACAUCUUCAUUUCGGAUAUUAAUUUCAAUUUUCUUUUGAUUUUCUGCAACAGUCGCUACAUAACUUGAAAACCCUUGAUCUCACCUAUUCCCGUUCCUUAGAGAAAUCACCGGACUUUUCACAAGUCCCAAAUCUUGAAGAGUUGAUAUUGGAAGAGUGUAUUAGUCUGUCCGAGAUUCACCCCUCCAUUGGUCAUCUUAAAAGACUUUCUUUGGUGAACCUUAGUCGAUGUAAUGAGCUUAUUUCUCUUCCAAAGGAUUUCUAUAAAUUGAAAUCUGUUGAGACUCUUCUUCUUAAUGGAUGUUCAAAAUUCAUAGAACUGCAUGAGGAUAUAGGGCAGAUGAUAUCACUGAGAACACUUGCAGCAUAUAAAACAGUCAUAAGAGAAGUACCACCUUCCAUAGUAAGAUUGAAGAAUCUCACUUGUUUGUCCCUAUCAGGUGUGGGAAGUAUUCAUUUGCCACAUUCGUUACACGGCUUAAACUCUUUAAGGGAAUUAGACAUCUCAUGUUGCGGAUUAGCCGAUAAUGAAAUCCCUGGGGAUCUUGGGAGUCUAAUUUCUUUACAAGUUUUGGAUCUUUCACGGAAUAAUUUUCACAUCCUACCCAACCUCAGUGGCGUAGAGCUCAAUGGAGUAUACAAACAUCUUCCUAAAGAGUUAAUAUGGUUGCAUUGGGAAGAAUUCCCUUUAAAGUCCAUACCAGAUGACAUUUUUAAUCAAGAUAAACUAGUUGUUUUAGACAUGCAGGGUAGCAAACUGGUACAAGCUAGGGAUGGUUCCAAGGUACAAUGAAUUACACAUGAUGAUGUUCUGUUUCUAUAUGUUUUUUGGAUUUCUUCUCUUUUAUUUUAUUUUUUAUAACAUCUUCAUUUCGGAUAUUAAUUUCAAUUUUCUUUUGAUUUUCUGCAACAGUCACUAUAUAACUUGAAAACCCUUGAUCUCAGCUGUUCCGAUUCCUUACAGAAAUCACCGGACUUUUCACAAAUCCCAAAUCUUGAAGAGUUGAUAUUGGAAGGGUGUUCUAGUUUGUCCGAGAUUCACCCCUCCAUUGGUCAUCUUAAAAAACUUUCUUUGGUGAACCUUACCCAAUGUUGGGAACUUAUUUCUCUUCCAAGGGAUUUCUAUAAAUUGAAAUCUGUUAAGACUCUUCUUCUUAAUGGAUGUUCAAAAUUCAUAGAACUGCAUGAGGAUAUAGGGGAGAUGAUAUCACUGAGAACACUUGAAGCAGAGCGAACAUCCAUAAGAGAAGUACCACCUUCCAUAGUAAGAUUGAAGAAUCUCACUGGUUUAUCCCUUGAUAAGUACCGCAUCAGUGUAAAGCUCAAAGGAGAAUACAAAUAUCUGUGUUGGGACCUAUGCCCUUUAAAGUCCAUACCAGAUGACUUUUUUAAUCAAGAUAAACUAGUUGUUUUACAGAUGCAGUAUAGCAAACUGGUACAAGUUUGGGAGGGUUCCAAGGUACAAUGAAUUACACGUGAUGAUGUUCUGUUUCUCUUUCUUUUUUUUAUAACAGCUUCAUUUCGGAUAUUAAUUUCAAUUUUCUUUUGAUUUUCUGCAACAGUCACUAUAUAACUUGAAAACCCUGGAUCUCAGCUGUUCCGAUUCCUUACAGAAAUCACCGGACUUUUCACAAGUCCCAAAUCUUGAAGAGUUGAUAUUGGAAGGGUGUUCUAGUUUGUCCGAGAUUCACCCCUCCAUUGGUCAUCUUAAAAAACUUUCUUUGGUGAACCUUACCCAAUGUUGGGAACUUAUUUCUCUUCCAAGGGAUUUCUAUAAAUUGAAAUCUGUUGAGACUCUUCUUCUUAAUGGAUGUUCAAAAUUCAUAGAACUGCAUGAGGAUAUAGGGGAGAUGAUAUCACUGAGAACACUUGAAGCAGAGCGAACAUCCAUAAGAGAAGUACCACCUUCCAUAGUAAGAUUGAAGAAUCUCACUGGUUUAUCCCUUGAUAAGUACGGCAUCAGUGUAAAGCUCAAAGGAGAAUACAAAUAUCUGUGUUGGGACCUAUGCCCUUUAAAGUCCAUACCAGAUGACUUUUUUAAUCAAGAUAAACUAGUUGUUUUACAGAUGCAGUAUAGCAAACUGGUACAAGUUUGGGAGGGUUCCAAGGUACAAUGAAUUACACGUGAUGAUGUUCUGUUUCUAUUUGUUUUUUGGAUUUCUUCUCUUUCUUUUUUUUAUAACAUCUUCAUUUCGGAUAUUAAUUUUAAUUUAUUUUGAUUUUCUGCAACAGUCGCUUCGUUACUUGAAAACCCUUGAUCUCAGCUAUUCCUGGUCCUUACAGAAAUCACCGGACUUUUCACAAGUCCCAAAUCUUGAAGAGUUGAUAUUGGAAGAUUGUUAUAGUUUGUCUGAGAUUCACCCCUCCAUUGGUCAUCUUAAAGGACUUUCUUUGGUGAACCUUAGAGACUGUCGUAAGCUUAUUUCUCUUCCAAGGGAUUUCUAUAAGUUGAAAUCUGUUGAGACUCUUCUUCUUAAUGGAUGUUGGAAAUUCAGAGAAUUGCAUGAGGAUAUAGGGGAUAUGAUAUCACUGAGAACACUUGAAGCAGAGCAAACAGCCAUAAGAGAAGUACCGCCUUCCAUAGUAGGAUUGAAGAAUCUCACUCGUUUAUCCCUUGACCGCAUCAGCUGCAUAGAGCUUAAUGAAGAAUACAAACAUCUUCCCAAAGAGUUAAUAUGGUUGCGUUGGUUUGGAUGCCCUUUAAAGUCCAUACCAGAUGACUUUUUUAAUCAAGAUAAACUAGUUGUUUUACAGAUGCAGUAUAGCAAACUGGUACAAGUUUGGGAGGGUUCCAAGGUACAAUGAAUUACACCUGAUGAUGUUCUGUUUCUAUUUGUUUUUUUUUGGAUUUCUUCUCUUUUUUUAUAACAUCUUCAUUUCGGAUAUUAAUUUCAAUUUUCUUUUGAUUUUCUGCAACAGUCGCUACAUAACUUGAGAACCCUUGAUCUCAGCUAUUCCUGUUCCUUACAAAAAUCACCGGACUUUUCACAAGUCCCAAAUCUUGAAGAGUUGAUAUUGGUAUGGUGUAAGAGUUUGUCCGGGAUUCACCCCUCCAUUGGUCAUCUUAAAAGACUUUCUUUGGUGAACCUUAGAGACUGUCGUAAUCUUAUUUCUCUUCCAAGGGAUUUCUACAAGUCGAAAUCUGUUGAGACUCUUCUUCUUAAUGGAUGUUGGAAAUUCAGAGAACUGCAUGAGGAUAUAGGGGAGAUGAUAUCACUAAGAACACUUGAAGCAGAGCAAACAGCCAUAAGAGAAGUACCACCUUCCAUAGUAGGAUUGAAGAAGUUUUUCCCUUGACCGCAUCAGCUGCGUAGAGCUUAAUGAAGAAUACAAACAUCUUCCCAAAGAGUUAAUACGGUUGUGUUGGUUUGGAUGCCCUUUAAAUUCCAUACCAGAUGACUUUUUUAAUCAAGAUAAACUAGUUCUUUUAGAGAUGCAGCAAAGCGAACUGGUACAAGUUUGGGUGGGUUCCAAGGUACAAUGAAUUUCACCUGAUGAUGUUCUGUUUCUAUUUGUUUUUUGGAUUUCUUCUCUUUUUUAAUUGUUUUAUUUUUAUAACAUCUUCAUUUCGGAUAUUAAUUUCAAUUUUCUUUUGAUUUUCUGCAACAGUCGCUACAUAACUUGAAAACCCUUGAUCUCAGCCAUUCCUACUCCUUACAGAAAUCACCGGACUUUUCACAAGUCCCAAAUCUUGAAGAGUUGAUAUUGGUAUGGUGUAAGAGUUUGUCCGAGAUUCACCCCUCCAUUGGUCAUCUUAAAAGACUUUCUUUGGUGAACCUUAAGUGGUGUUUCAAACUUAUUUCUCUUCCAAGGGAUUUCUAUAAAUUGAAAUCUGUUGAAGCAGAGUGUACAUCCAUAAGAGAAGUACCACCUUCCAUAGUAAAAUUGAAGAAUCUCACUCGUUUAUCCCUAUUAGCUGUGAAAAGUAUUCAUUUGCCACAUUCGUUACACGGCUUAAACACUUUUAAGGGAAUUAAAUCUCUCAUGGUGUGCAAAUUAGCUGAUGAUGCAAUCCCUAAGGAUCUUGGGAGUCUAAUUUCUUUACAAGAUUUGAAUCUUCAAGGGAAUGAUUUUCAUACCCUACCCAGUCUCAGUGGUCUUUCAAAGCUUGAAACUCUGCGGUUAGAUGGAUGCUUUAACCUUCGUACAAUCCAUGAUAUACCACCAAAUGUGAAAGUUCAGCAUGAGUAAUAUCCUGAGGUCGAUGUGUGCAAUGUUAUGUAGGCAGAGAAGAUUGGGAGGAGCUACUAUAUGAAGACUAUCUUUUCAAGCUUUUACUUUGGAGUUGGAGGUUCCUUGGGGCUCUUGAAGCAGAUUCUACAGCCAUAAGACAAGUAGCACCUUCCAUAGUAGCAUUGAAGAAUCUCACUUUUAUCUCUGAGUACUGUGCCUAGUCAUUUGCCCAAAUUACCUGAUGAUGCAAUCCCUAAGGAUCUUGGAGGGAAUGAUGUUCAUACCCUACCCAGCCUCAGUGGCCUUUCAAAGCUUGGAGGGAAUGGAUGCAUAUAUCUUCAUACAAUCCGUGAUUUACCAAGAAGUUUGAAAUUUCUGUAUGCCAUUGCCCAAUUUUUCGGAAAUGUCAAAUAUGAGAGAACUGGAAGCAAGUGAUUCUCUCAAACUCACUUGAGGCUCCACGCUUGGAUAAGUUAUUAAACCCCAUGACAUGGACUGAUAUGAAAAGGUUUACCAAUCUCACAGCUGAUUUUGGCAAGAACAUCAUAUAGGUAUCUCUCUCCCCCCUCCCCCUCUCUCCCCAAAGUUCUAAUUGCCUUCCUAUUGUGCACAUGCAGAUUCCUAUGGCUUUUCCAAAACGUAGUUGUUUUGAAUUUUGAAGAUAUAUUGCAUUCAGAAACAUUUCAAUACUACAAGAACCGAUAUAAAAUGCAUCCAAUGAUCCGAGAAAUAGCACUCGAAUUCGCAGAAAUACAAAUGCACCAACGUUUUCUUGUCAAAUGCACGUUCUCAUUUUAUGAGUGUAACCAUACUUAAUAUUCAACACUGGACAUUACAUAAUCAAGUUCUUGUAAUUCAAAAAGGCCAUACCUCCACUCACCCUGAGAUACAAAGGCAUCUGUUUCUUCUACCUUAGGGUUUUCGUCUGCAAGACCAGCUAUGAUUGGGGAAGCGUCACUUUUAUAGUCCAUAAUAAUUCUCUUCUCACUUUCUUCACUCACAACAUUUUUGGUCUGCAUAAAGAACAUUACUACAUUUAGCUUCCUAAAGUUAUAUUUGUAAGGUGAAAAAAAAAGCAGAAAUUUUCUAAAAUGAUUUUGAGGCAAGGAAGACUUGCAACUGAUUUAGUUACUUUAGGAUCUUUGGCUGGAUAUUCCUUCUUUAAGUGAUUUCUUUUCCGCUCGGUUGAGUUACAUGCUACAUUUCUGAGAUGAGCGUUUCGAGAUUGUGAUUGUUGCUGUAAUUGGUUGCCGAGAUAUUGACUUGAAACAGUCUUCUCACCUUCCUCAAACUGUUUCUUCAGAGCGGCCUGCAAAGGUCUUGACGGGUACUCUUCGAUUCCCAUGAGCUUGGCAAUCAGACUUGGCCCUUUUCCCGCCUUUUGUGAAGCAGCUGUUGUUGCUGCAAUGGUGGAGUCACUGGUGGUAUGAAACACAGAACUUUGGGUUGAGCUGGUGGAGGGAGUAUCCAAGAACAAAUCCAUAUAUCGAAAAUAGUUUACCCUUUUCGACAGAUUCUGUAUUUUCCACAAGUUUCUGCCUCACAAGGCUGUCUCUGAUCACCUCCUUAAGCUCUUGAUUUCCAUUCCUUGAAAACCAUCAGCAGAACGCCUUGGUUUUUCAAAUUCCGUCACAGAAUUGUGUUUUUUUUGUUUAAGUGAGCCGUACUCUGAAGCUUCCUGUGCAACUUGCUAAGAAUGACUAGAGAACCCUCCAGAUCAAGAGCUCCUUCCAAGUAGUCUUUCACAAUGUCCUUCGACUGCUGCCCUUCGAACCUCAUCUCUUUCGACCAGGAAUCAAUUGUGCGGUUUAGCUUCUGAGAUUCUCUGGACACUUUGACAAAUUUUUGGAAUUCCGCAAUAUCUUUCUCUGGUGAGUUCCUAAUAACCGAAGUCACCUUUUGGAUCUUAUCAACCUUGUCAAUUGCCUCCUUUCUAUGUGGUUUGAGAUCUUAUCAGCUUUUGGAUUUCCUGCUUAUGUGUGAGGCACAGGUUGACUUGUAGUGAUUCCAAAUUUCGUCAACUUCACUGUGAGGCACAGGUUGACUUGGAGUGAUUCCAGAUUUCCAAUGCACCUUUGGUGUGAUGCCAAAAGUCAGAGUGAUUCCAGAUCUCUCUUUUGUUCCCAUCUCUUCUUAUUGUUACAUACUCAGAUACUCUAGAUAAGAUAUAUGGUCACUCGUGCAAUCAAAAACCUUUUUCUAAGAAUAAGACAAUUAAGCAUCCAAGUUGAAGAAAAUCAAACCCUAGCUUCACUGAAGUCGGAUAGAAACUGUCCUUACUGAAGUUGGAUUAUCGCACCAAAAUUUGUGUCUAGCUAGGGUGAGAUGAAGAGAGAAAAUGGACUACAUACUGGCUCAGCAACGUCAAACCCCAAGACCAAUGACUAAUGCAAGUUAGAAUAUACCAAUCCAAUAAUGGGGUUUAAGGAAUGCAUUUCAGAAUACGACGUAACAAAAACGUUGAUUCCAAGUUGAGCAUAUAUUGGAGAGAAGAAGCUAUCCAAAAAGUGAAUAACCACCACGUAAUAUAGAAAGUGAUCGCUACUGGAAAUAGGAUCACACUGCAAAAGAACAAAGAGUGAGCAGCUAAUAUUUAUAUAUAUAUGAACCAAGAGCGAACAAUAAAAUUUUGGAUUAAUCAAUCGUACAAGAAAAGCAUAUAUGUAAUGUCUAUUAUACCUUAAACAAAAUUCAUGUGUAAUUGGGGUUGCACAAGGAAAGCUCAAAUAGCCAACAAUAGUACUUGCAUAUAUUCGCCGUAGGUGAUUUUGCGUAAUGAACAAUAAUACAUGUAAACAUAUGCAAAUGAUCGGUUUCUUACACAUGAAUAUAACCUUUUGUUAACAGGGAACUGAAGAAGUUGAAGGACUUGCUCUACAUUUGCCUUAUGGUUAUGGCACUGCUAGUUUCAGCACAGAAGCAUUUGCCAAUAUGAAAAAACUGAGAUUGCUUCAGCUCGACAGAGUAGAGCUCAAUGGAGAAUACAAACAUCUUCCCAAAGAGUUAAUAUGGUUGUGUUGGUGUGGAUGCCCUUUGCAGUCCAUACUAGAUGACUUUUUUAAUCAAGAUAAACUAGUUGUUUUCGACAUGCGGUGGAGCAAUCUGGUACAAGUUUGGGAGGGUUCCAAGGUACAAUGAAUUACACCUGAUGAUGUUCUGUUUCUGUUAGUUUUUUGGAUUUCUUCUCUUUUUUAUUUUUUUAUUUCUUUAUUUUUAUUUUUUAUAACAUCUUCAUUUUGGAUAUUAAUUUCAAUUUUUUUUUAUUUUCUGCAACAGUCGCUUCAUAACUUGAAAACCCUUGAUCUCAGCUAUUCCCAUUCCUUACAAAAAUCACCAGACUUUUCACAAGUCCCAAAUCUUGAAGAGUUGAUAUUGAAUUACUGUCAGAAGUUGUCCGAGAUUCACCCCUCCAUUGAUCAUCUUAAAAGACUUUCUUUGGUGAAACUUAAGUGGUGUGUCAAACUCAUUUCUCUUCCAGGGGAUUUCUACAAGCCGAAAUCUGUUGAGACUCUUCUUAAUAGAUGUUCAGAAUUCAGAGAAGUGCAUGAGGAUAUAGGGGAGAUGAUAUCAUUGAGAACACUUGAAGCAGAGGACACAACCAUAAGAAAAGUACCACCUUCCAUAGUGAGAUUGAAGAAUCUCACUCGUUUAUCCCUAGCAGGUGUGAAAUUAGCUGAUGAUGCAAUCCCUAAGGAUCUUGGGAGUCUAAUUUCUUUACAAGUUUUGCAUCUUUAAGGGAAUAAACUUCAUUCCCCACCCAACCUCAGUGGUCUUUCAAAGCUUGUAACAUUGAGGUUAAGUGGAUGCAGAUCUCUUCGUACAAUCCCUGAUUUACCAACAACUUUGAAAUUUCUGUAUGUUUUUCAAUGCCUUGCAUUGGAACAAUGCCCAAUUUUUCGAAAAUGUUGAAUAUGAAAGAACUGGUUGUGAGUGAUUCACCCAAACUCACUGAGGUUCCAGGCUUGGAUAAGUCAUUAAGCUCCAUGACAUUGAUUAAUAUGAGAAAGUGCACCAAUCUCUCAGCUCAUUUAAGGAAGAACGUCCUACGUGUAUCUCUCUCUCUCUCUCUCUCUCUCUCUCUCUCUCUCUCUCUCUCAUUGCCUUCCUAUUGUGCAUAUACAUGUAUAUAUAUAUAUAUGACACUUGUAAUAUGUAUGUAGGGAUGGACUUCUUGCGGAUUUGAUGGAAUUUUCCUUCAUGGAAACUACGUUCCUGAUUGGUUUGAGUUCGUCAAUGAGGGCACUAAAGUCACUUUUAAUAUUCCCCCAAGUGAUGGUCAUAAUUUUGAAGGGUUAACUUUAUUUUGCUUACGCCGCUCAUACGUAAGCAGUCAUCUUGCCAUUAUUGUUAUAAAUAAUAUCCAGCGUACUGAGUUGCAAGCUUACAUAGGCAGAGAAGCAUCUGAUUACCACCCAAAUGGAGAUGAUUAUCUUUUGCAGGGACAACUCUCGAACAGUAAGCUCAAUUUGCAAGGUGGGGAUAAAGUUGAUAUACUUUUUGAAAACCCAGCCAUUUCAAUAACGAGAACAGGGGUUAAUCUAGUAUGGGACAAACCUAUGAAGGAAAAUAUGUAUGAUUUGGACAAAGCUGGAUAUGUUUUUGACACACAUCCAACUCGGUUUUAUGAUGAGGGAGGACCAAGCCAUGAAGCAUCUGAUAAUAAUCGUCCCAGGAAACAAAUGAGAAUUACCAUAGAUGACUGAAAUGGGAAAAGGCAAGAAGAAAUGAAGCAUCAUCUGUCUAGAUUAUGUCAAACCCAGAUCGAUUCUAUGGUGAAGCACGAUCAAGGCGGUGAUGCAUCGUCAUCAUCACAUAUCUGAGUAAGGUCAUAACCAGUUCAUCAAACGCCUCUUUCAUUUUUCGCUUUACUGGUUCGAUAAUGAAGACAAGUCCUUAUUUCAUACUUCUUUAGAUUCCUACGAUUUUUUCAAUAAGUAGUUGUUCUGAAUUUUGAAGAAAUAUUGCAUCUAAAAAACAUUUUAACAAUACAACAAUCAAUAUAGACAUUCAUCCAAAUAUUUGACAAAUACUACUUGAAUGCGCACAAAUACUUGCCCUGCUUCCACCACAUAUUCCAGAAAAUCAAUGACAGCCUCAAGAUGCCAGUCAAUUUAUAGUUUCUACUACGUUUUCAUUAAUCUGGACUUGCCCUGACAUGUUAGCAGAAAAUUGACUCUACAUUUUAGUAGAAGAUCUAUUACCUUUCUACUACCUUUGAAGUUGAUGAACUCGUUUGCACGAUCAAAAAAUAGUCUUGUUGGAUUCUCCAAAACUGCAGACGGAAGUUGUUUGUAACAUCGUAGAGCUGUUUCUGUUAAGAUCAAACCCCAGCCCAUGUUGUGCCCUUCUGUAAACACCAUCAAAUUAAGAUGUCACAAAGUUUUGAAAAAAAACAUGAAAUCAUCAAAUAUAGCUUUGAUAUCUUUGUAGGAUUUCAAUUGAAAAAAAAAAAAAAAAAAAAGAGACAGAUCUUUGUUGGGGUAACAAACUCUAUCUGGCUUACAAAGAGAAUAUCUAUAAUUACAACAAAAUGAGAAAAAACUCUUGUUCAGCAAAUCAGUGCAAAUGUAGCUAAACCACCAAAAUUCAAAAUGAAGCUACGGUUUCACCAUCACCAUAUUCAUCUCAAGUACAAAAUUUACCUAAUAGAGUAAAGCAUGAUGAGAAUAAAAGAAAUGACAAAAGUCAAGUAAUCCUCCUCUUUCCCCCAAACUGUCUGCCUCUUGAAUGCAUGUCAUCCCGGUUUUGAUGACUCAUUUUUUUAAGAAGCUUUUGUGCGGCUGCUUGGUUUUGAACAGGGACAGCUUCAAUUUUUGUGGAAGCCAUAAUACAUCAGCAUUAAAUUACAAAGUAAAAAAUGUAGAACAUUUAUAAUAUAUAAGUUAACUAAAUGUGUUUCUUGUAUGAUUCAAGUAUAAUUCCAUUUUACAUGAUUGUCGAUGUUGAUACAGACAAAACUUAGCAGAAAUUUGGUUUUCCCUCCAUUCAAAUGAUUCAAGUUUGAUUCUGCCACCUUACACCUGCCCCAUCUACAACUAUAUACGCACCACUGGAAAUAAUUAGUGAACAAAUCGAAGUGUAAAAACACCAGUCUCUUCUCGACCCCUUCCCCACAACUAGAUGACAUAAAAUUAAGCUUAAUACUACACAAAACCCGGAUGCCGCAUAGGAUAAUAGUAAAAUUUAAUAACAAGCUACAAGUUGGACACAAAUGAAAAUCCACCUUCUUUUGUCUUGGGUUCUUCAUCAAGAGAAUCUGCCUUACGAGUGUUAUCUGUCUCACUUUUUUUUUAAAUUAAGCUUAAAACUACACAAAACCCGGAUGCAGCAUAGGAUAAUAGUAAAAUUUAAUAAAAAGCUACAAUUUGGACACGAAUGAAAAUCCACCUUCUUUUAUCUUGAGUUCUUUCAUCAAAGGAAUCUGCCUUACGAGUGUUACCUGUCUCACUUUUUUUAUAAAAUUUAUCCUCAUCAUUUGCUUUCAAUUGAAGAUUCCACUGUCUUCCAACUGGUCUACCCUCAGUAAUUCUGGCAAUAGGCUCACUACUCUUGGAGCUAACAUCAGAGUAAUCUGCCAAUGAUUGCAUCUUGCCCAUGAGAUAUGCAUGCAAUAGCAAUAAUGAGUGGUUUAACAUUAUGUUAAAAGACAUAAACUAAUAUUAUGAAAUCAAUAGCUCAAGAAUACUGACGUGAAAACUUGUCCUGCUCAGGAAACCGACUUUUAGCUGCCCCAACUUGCAACUUCUCAAAUGGAGAGGGGCCGUUACCAUCACUUUCCUGUGAAAUCCUUAAAGAUGAACGUGAAAACUCGGAAUAUUUUGUAUUCAUCUGCCAUUCUUCGUAAAGUGAUUGAACAACACCUCCCAACACAGUCACAACUUUAGGACUCAAACAAACUAUUCCGUUACGUACAGUAACUUUACCUUCCAAACAGACCUCCCGAUCAAAAAGUAGGACAAACAAAAGAUGUUCAGUUAACUCAAAAUGCGACCUUUAUCUAUGCACCUGUUUUCCCUGAAUCACUUAAGAAAGUGGGACUAGAGAGACCCAUAAAACUUCUUGUGAAAUUCAUUUUGAGUUUCAUGAAAAAAGUACUCAUAAUAAUUGUCAAAAUUAAAAACUUUGUCGGGGUCUUCCAGUGCAGUGUUGAGCUAAUGUCCCAUAUGGGAUACAAAAUAAACGAAAUUAUUAAUUUUCCUACUGGAUGUGGAUUCACUUCAAGAUUGCAUAAACGAAGACGGAGCACACAGUGUUCAUCACUAAGUUCUACGAAAGUGUGAGUUUCCGUUGUUUUCCAUAAUCUAGCUCAAUUUCGUACCAGUUUGAAUACUAAACUGAACAUAUACAAAAUCCAAAAAGUGACAAUCAAAUAAAUCUCUAGCUUAUUCAAUAUAAAACACCAGAUGAGUAUUGAGCAGGCAUCAAGAAGCAGAAAGUACCUUAGUUUCAGGAACGACGUGGUCAGGGAUUGCCGGGGUAUGAGAGUACUCCACAGCUGUGGCCGUCGUCAGGGAUCGUCAGGCAUCAAAAGCCGCCGACGACUCAAAUUCCUCGAAAAAUCCUCCAUACUGCUUUUAGCAACGUCCCUUACCCAAGCCAUUUGAUAACAAAACACAAAGGAAAGCCACAUUUUUCUUUCUCUUUAUCUAUUUUGUGAUUUACCUGGAGGACUUUGGGGCCGAGGAGGUGAGAGGACCUUAGGAGCGUAUGCGGGUCGGGCAUGGGCGGAGAUGGAUUUAAGGUUCAUGUUGGUGAGCUCGGCUUCCACUGAGUUCACCACCGUACGCGUGUCGUAGGACAAGGCGGGGUGGAUCAGGAUCUUCUCCUCCACUUGUUCGAAGUCGCCGAAGCACCAUCCUCUGGUUCUUAGGGUUUCGAUUGCGGCGUCGGAAGCGGCGCCGGAACUCCCCUCCAUAUUUUUUGUUCCAGUUUGCCGCGUAGUUUGAUUUUGGGGGUUUUCUGAAUUUUGCAACAGAAAACGUCAAAUGUACGGUACAGUCCCAGACUCCCCAAUAGGUCAUGAAACGGCGUCGUAGUUGGGUUUUUUUAAAUUUUUUUAGGGUGUAUUGGUUCCUCCUUUUGUGAGAAUGAGGGCCAGUGCACCAAAAUUAACGUCUAUUGGUAGUUUUUUUCAUUUAUAAAUGAAAGGUUUUGUCAUUUAGGGGAGUGUAUUCAAUUGAGAAUGUGAGAGAUUUUAAUGGAUUUAUAAAUCCAUGGAUUUUUAUGGAGUUUAAUUGAUUUGUAGAGAUUCCAUAUAAAAUUUUGAUUCAAUUCCCUCGAAAUCUCAUGGAAAGAGGUGAGAUUUAUGGAUACUUAAAAUACACUACGAAAUCUCUCCAAUUCCCUCUAAUUCCUCAACUUUCUCAAAUUCUUUAAAAUCAAUUUCUAAUUGAAUACACCUGGAAUGUUAUAAACUUCUUUAAAAUCUUAAUUGAAUACACCUGGAUUUCUAAGGAUUUUAAUAAACUAUUUUAAAAUUCUAAUUGAAUACACCUAGAAUUUCAGAGAAUCACUUAAAAUCCUGAUUGAAUACCCCUAGAUUCAUUAAAAGAAUUAAAAUCCCUUAAAAUCCCAAUUGAAUACACCCUCCUUAGUAUUAUGAUCUAGUGAUAUUUCUCUGUACUGAUAAGUGAGGUUUUAGGUUCAAUUUUCGCCAAAGGCGAAUUUGAACCACAUUAUUUUUAGCUCAGUAUGAGGCUAACCCCACCCCCAACCCCCCAACCCCCAACCCCACCCCCAACCCCCAACCCCCACCCCCAUCCCCCACCAGUUUGUGUAGAAAAUAUCAAUUGUUUAAAAAAAUGAGAAGUUUUAAGUUUGAAUUUCAUAAAUGGCAUGUUCAAUACAAAUUUGUAAACAAAUAAUUGCUUACAAAAUAAUGAACUUUGUUAAACAAAAAUAAUUGCUUACGGUAGAGAGAAUAACUAUAAACAUUAUUGAAGUAUGUAUUUAAAUAUUUUUAGUUUAUAUAAAUCGAUAGGUUGCUAUUGCAUUAUGUGUCUAAAUCAAAUCACUAACUUGAACCAUGCUCUGUAUUUGGAAACUCUUCGUUUUUCUUAUUUGAAUUAGUAGGGUUUGUAUUUUUGUUUUCCAAAUUUGAUUUUUGUGAUUUCAUUUUGAAAGAUAUUUCAGAAUUUCAUAAAGCAGAUGUGAUUUGAUCAAUUAAAGCCAACCUGAAUUACAGAGGUCUGAUUACGGAUACACUGCAAAUUACCUCACUUUUCUAGCAAGAGUCUGCUGCUUUUUCCAAAAGGAAAAGAUUAGCUUGGUUUGAUCUCGUAUUUGAAUUGUACAGAUUUGGUUUGAUCUCUUAAUUUUUGCUGUGCAAAUUUUGUUUUAAUUAAUUUGGGUUGGGCCGAGGAAGCAAAUAAUUUUUUAAAUUAAUAAAUUUAGUUUGGUUUAUACAUGUGCUGCUGAAUAUUAUUUACCGAAGCAUGAACAUCUCAAGAAACUGUUUGUUACAAAGUAUUUAUUACAACUUUGCACCAACUGUUUUUGUUAUGUCUUAUAGUUUUAAAACUUACGGUAUCACGCGGGCCCUUUUGCUAUUAAUUUAAAAGGAUGGUCUCUAUAACAUUUUGAUUUUCUUUUUGCAAUUGUAUAUGAACCAGCACUGGAGAGUUUUUCAACGUGUUCGAAGCACAUCAUGAAACGUCAUAUGUUAUCAUACAAGUGUCAUAAUACAAUUGGUUUGACACUUAAAAAAAACAAUUUCAUCCACUUAUUUGAUAGUUAGUAUAUCAAACCGUACUUUUGGCAUACUAAAAAACUUCUCAUAAAAGUGGGUACAUUAUGAGUAUUAUAAACAAGUGGUGCUAAUUAAUAUUUAUUCUGGAAGGAUUAAACCCCAAUUAAUAUUUAUUCUGGAAGUAUUAUAAACAAGUGGUGCUAAUUCUUCCCUGCAUCCUCCCUCCCACCCAGCAGUAUGUUGUUAAUAAUCGCUUCCUAAUGUGAACGACUCUUCACUCACCAGUAUACGAAGAGAAGUAAUUCCUUCAUGCAAUAUUGUCCGUUAAGAUUAAGAGAAAUGUGAAGAAUUAGAUUUUUUUAAAUCAUUAAAAAUAAAAUUCAACCAUCAACGAUUAUUUCAUUUGAUUUAUUAAAUUAUAUAAACUAAAACUCAGUUUUCUCACCACAGUUUAUUAACAAUGAAGGGGAGAAAACUGCCCUUGGUUUCUUCUUUGUUGACCUCAAUGUUUCAGUUUCUCUACAGUGGAAAGUCAUUUUUGCCCAUGUUGGCCUCGCGUUUUUCAUUAUUCAUCUCUGUACUUCGACCGUGCCUUCUUGUUCGCUUUACCUUUUGCUUCAUCUGUGCUUUUCAUGUCUUCCUUUCGCCCUCUGUUUUUCUUGAAUCCUCUAUUGCUCUCGAAUCUUUCGUUCCUUAUUUCAUAAAAUAUUCACCAAACAGAACCUGAUUUUCGUUUUUAAGGGAUUUUGUUUGCGCUCUCCGUUUUGAGGGAAGUUGUGUUCCUCUGUAAAGCUAGCUGUAGAACUAGGGUUCUGGGAGUUUUGUGGAAAGUCAUAAAAUUCGUUUCUAGGGUUCUUAAACUUGCAAUUGGCGGGCCAAAACUUCAUAGUAUUUGUUUCUUUUGCCGUUUGGGAUUCCGGAGUUGUCGCUGGAUUUCUGGCGAAUCUGUAGCGCGGUUUGGGAGCGGGCUGUCUUCAGAUCAUUGUGAAACAAAUUUUAUGGAAUUCAGGUACAUUUUAUAAUAGCUGUAUUUAAGUUUUUAUUUUGGAUUUGUGGUGAGUUGCAGUGCUUUGUCAAGGCUUUCGUGUUUAAAAGGGCAUUUUGUGUUUUGCUACCCCAGUUCAUAAAUCUCAGAUUUGGCAGCAAUUGGAACACCACUGUUAUUUUUUGGGUAUGUUAUAUGUCCUUCCAUUUUUUUAUUUAUACUGUUAGUGUAGGAACCCAUCUGUUGGGUGAAGUGGUAGGUCUAAAAAUGGAUAUCAUCCAGUGGAAGAACCCAUAUGUGGUGUUUAUUUUUAGACAAGAUGGGAAGAUGUAAACAGUUGGAGGUCCAUACCAUUUUCCAAGUUCUUUGUUAAUGUGAAUGUUUAUGUUAUUCUGAUUCGAUUUGUAAACAAAUAAUUGCUUUCAAAAUAAUGAACUCUAUUAAACAAAAAGAAUUGCUUACAGUAGAAAAUAACUAUAAAUAUUAUUGUAAAGUGUAUAUUUAAAUAUUUUUAAUUUAUAUAAAUCGAUAGGUUACAAUUGUAUUCUGUGCCUAAAUCAAAUCACUAACUUGAACCAUGCUCUUUAUUUGGGAACUGUGCGUUUUUCUUAUUUGAAUUAGUAGGGCUUGUAUGUUUGUUUUUCAAAUUUGAUUUUGUGUGAUUUCAUUUUAAUAGAUAUUCAGAAUUUCAGAGGUUUGAUCAAUUAAGGCCAACCUGAUUGAUAGAGGUCCGAUUACAGGUACACUACAAAUCACCUCACCUUUCUACCAGGAGUCUGCUGCUUUUUCCGAAAGGAAAAGUGUAGCUUGGUUUGAUCUCUUAUUUGGAUUGUGUAUAUUUGGUUUGAUCUCUUAAUUUGUGUUGUGCAAAUUUUGUUUGAAUUAAUUUUUGUUGGGCAGAGGGAGCAAAUAAUUUUUUAAAUUAAUAAAUUUAGUUUGAGUUGUACAUAUGCUGUUGAAUAUUAUUUACGAGGCAUGAUCAUGUCAAGAAACUGUUCGUUACAAAUUAUUCAUUACAACUUUGCACCACCUGUUUUGUUAUGUCUAAUAGUUUUAAAACCCGCAGCAUCGCGUAGGUCUUUUUACUAGUAGUCUAAAAAGAUAGUCUUUCUAACAUUUUUAUUUUCUUUUUGCAACUGUAUAUGAACCAAUAAUGGAAAGUUUUCAAUGUGUUCGAAGCACGGCAUGAAACGUCAUAUGUUAUUAUACAAAUAUCAUAAUACAAUUAGUUUGACACUUGAAAAAACAAUUUCAACCACUUAUGUUAAUACUUAGUGUAUCAGAUUGUGUUUUUGGCACAUUGAAAAAUUUCUCAUAAAAAUGGGCAUAUUAAGAGUAUUAUAAGCAAGUGGUGCUAAUUAAUAAGUUAUUCUGGAGGGUUUAAACCCCAAUUAAUAAGAAAAUUCAGAAGAAAGAAAGUAGCCACUUGCUAGCAAAAGGCAAGGAGAAAGCAAAAAGGUGGGAUAUUGGAUUGGGAUGCGAGUGGAGGACACGUAGGUGUUCUUGUUUAUAUCUAGAUAUUAUCUUGAGUGCCUUGGCAUUGCUCCAUCCAUCUUUUCCUUGCCCUGCCAGUCAUGUGCCAAAACCAAGGAAGAAAAUAUUGGUAAUAUCGGAAAUAUCGGUAGUCCGAAAACACGGAAAUAUCGAUGGAAAUAUCGGAAUAAUAUCGAUAUCGAUAAAAAUUACAUGGAAACCAUCGAAAUUGUAAGAAAAACUUGGAAAUUUUUAAUGAAACUUUGUAGGAUGUUUAUUUAGUCAAUUAUCUAUUAGUUUAUCACAAAAAAUUGGAAGGAAAUGCAUUGCAUGAUGGAUUUAACUGAUUUAAGUUGAUUAUAUAGCGAGCUGGCAAACAUUGUGAGUGUAGAAAAUAUGUAGUAAUUAAUGAAAGAAGUUUAAACACACCAUAAUCAUUUAUAUAUAAUUAAUUAGUACAAUAUUUGGAGGUUUUAUUUAGGAUAUUAAAAAAAAAAAAAAAAAGGAAGUGAAUAAAAUGAUGAAGAAUAAUGUGCCGAAUUUGACACUUUAAAUUUCUUACACAUAAGCAUGCGUCUAGGCGUUGAAGUUCCAAAUUAUAGUAUAUCAAUUAACGAUUGAAAAUCAAUACAUUGAAUAAGACUAAACUUUAAUUUGGAUGCCGAUUAUGUUUUUUCAAGUUUAUAUAAAGUAAAAGAAUUGAAUUUUGGAAGCCAGGAGUGUGUCAAUUGAAAUUUUGGCCGGCGUGCAAGGUAUCAAUCUCUCUUCGUCUCGUCGAGUAGUACAACUUUCCUUUUUGUUUCACUCAAUUUCGUUGAGUAUUGAAAAAGUUAUACUCAUUUGAAUCUUACCCAGUUUCCGGCGACCUCAGUGGAUUUAGAGGCAAUUUCCGGCCAAACCACAACGAGUCAGACGUCGUGUGAGGUACCAUUCUCUUCGUCUCUUCGAGGGCACCAACUUUCCUUUUUGUUUCACUCAAUUUCGUUGCUUAUUGAAAAAGUUAUACUCAUUUGAAUCUUACCCAGUUUCCGGCGACCUCAGUGGCUUUCGAGACAAUUUCCGGCCAAACCACGGCGAGUUGGCCGGCGUUCAAGGUAUCAAUAUCUUCGUCUCGUCGAGUAGUACAACUUUCCUUUUUGUUUCACUCAAUUUCGUUGAGUAUUGAAAAAGUUAUACUCAUUUGAAUCUUACCCAGUUUCCGGCGACCUCAGUGACUUUCGAGGAAUUUUCCGGCCAAACCACGACGAUUCAGACGUCGUGUGAGGUACCAUUCUCUUUGUCUCUUUGAGGGCUACAACUUUCGUUUUUGUCUUGCUUGAUUUCGUUGAGUUUUGACAAAGUUAUGGCUGUUUAAAGUGGGUGUAAAUUUUCGACCGAAAAUUCUGAUUUUCUCUCCCAUUGGGCGAGUCCCACAUCGCCCAUGUGAGGGCAGUGAGCAAGCAAAUUUUCCUAUAAAACCCACAUCCCCCCUGCUGAGAAAAUCCAAGCUUGUUCGGCCUUUGGGCUAUGAUCAAGUGAAGUAUGUGUUGAGUUUUCUCAACAUAUUUAAGUAUAUUUUAGUAUUAUGACGCGAUAAUAUUGAAAAUAUCACGAUAUUAUCGAUAUUUUGACAAAAAUAAUUUGGAUAGUUAAAAAAAUUUCGGACCUUCAAAAAAUCGAUAAUAUCGGCGAUAUUAUCGAUAUUUUCUUCCUUGGCCAAAACUAUAUCAGUCUAACGCUACUUUCUCUACCUUCAAUAUUUCUACAUGAAGAUUGAUCUGGUCCUGUCAUUCAACUUUCAGUGUUGACUAUGAUUAACCGCUUAUAGUUAUUUUAAGAACACUUUCAGACAAUCCUAAGAAUAUCAAUAACUUCUCGUAAGUAUCAACGGUUAAAUUUUUACCGUUUUACUUUCGGAAUAGGAUUCUCUCCUCUUUUUUUUUUCCUCCUCUUUCCUCUCCUUCUAUUUGAAUGAUCAUAAUUAAGUCACGUCAAUAUUUUAUAUUAAUUUUAUAUAUAAAGAAAAAUAUAAAAUAGAGAAUGUAAGAAAAAAAUAAGAGGAUAAAAAUAGAAAGGGAGAGAAUUCUAAUUAUUUAUUUUCAAUCUUAAUCGUCCAGUGAUUAGAUUGUGGUGUCGUGGUGUUUCACUGAACAUCCUUCCUUUGGGUUUUUUUCAUAAGGAAUUGGAUUCUCUCCUGGGCACAAGGAGCAGAUCUUUUUGAUCAACACACAUAGGUCAUUGGAUUUUCAUCUAACAAUUUAAAUUAAUAUAACUUUAAAUAGACCUUUUUGUUUGUAAUCGUUGGAUAAAAAUUCAAUGGUUUACGUAUGUUGGUCAGGAGAAUCCGCUUAUUGUGCUCAGGAGAGGAUCCAAUUCCCUUUCAUAAAGCUGCUUUUCUUUUCCACUUUUUUUUUUUCAAAAAGCAGCUCCUGCUUUGGUUUUCCACUUUGUUUUUUUAUUUUUUAUUUUUUCAAAAAGCAGCUCUUGCUUUACUUUUCCAUUUUUUUUUCUUCCGGAAAGCAGGUCCUAUUUUGCUUUUUUUGUUUUUUUACUUCAAAAAGCAACUCAUGCUUUUUCACUUUUAUUAUUAUUAUUAUUUUUCUUCCAAAAGGCGGCUCAUGUUUUUCCACCGCCUCAUUAUGUGUCGGUAGAGUUACAUGAACACUUUCGCAUCCUAGGGCCUGGACUGAAGGUGCUUUAUUUUGAAUAAUAAUUAGUUAAUUAUUAAUUAAUAUUUAUUAAUUUCAGAUUUUACUCAAAUAACAUGAUUUGUUUAUUUAUUAUAAAAAAAUGUUAAGGAGAUUCUUUAAAAAAUAAGACUCUUUAUGAAGUCUAUGCCACGUCAUAUUCUGGACAAUAUUUUAUAAUGUUGGAAUGAGAAUUAUGCACAAAACAUGAGGUGACGGAGAGUCCAUAAAGAAUCAUACUUUGAUAGAAUCUUCUUAUUACUUCUUUUUAUUAUAUAAUCAUUAGAUUAUUGAAUUUGGUCGAACUUUAGUAUAAUUGAUUUUUAAAGAGUAAUAUCGAAAAUAAAAAUUUAAAUUGCAACGUUGCGGAAUAAAAACAUAAAGCGAAAAAAUUUAAAUGAGAAUCUUAUUAUCAUUGAUUCGGAAUUAAUGUAGGAGGAAGUAUAAUAAGGUAGAUCUUAAUUGUUUCUACCCUCUUAUUCUUGACAAGCAAACAAGAGCCUUCUCUUCAACGUGAAUAAAACAUCUUUAGUUUUCAAGAAUCUUUUGGAUAGUCUUUGUCCUUUCAUGUUCCUUUCUAGGUUCUUUCAUCUUUUCCUCGCUCUUUCCCUGCAUCUUCUCGUUCCCACCCGAGUAGACCCCAACCCAAAUCAGACACACCCCUUCUCCCCACCCGAGCCCACCCGCAACCGUUUACUACUUCCCUCAGGGCUACCUCGAGCAAUCUUCCACCUCCUCCUCCUCCUGCUCCUUAAGAUUGGAAUUGCUAAUUGGGUUUCUGAAUUGUGAACAGGAUAAAGCGUUCUGGGUUGGGUUCUCUGCGUUUUCUCUCGAAGCAUUCGAAUUAUGGAGGGUUUGCAGAAGUUGAUUGGGAAAAUCUCAAAAGACCCCCCAAAAUUGGGCUCCGCUUCAGCUUCCUUCGGCCCUCACCGUGGGACUGAAGGUCUUGCCGUCGCUCUGUCUUCCUCCGAUCAGUCUUGUAUUUUGCUCAACAGACCCGCCAGGUACCUCUAAAGUUUCAGAUGUUUUAAUGGUACUCUGUAAAUUGGGUAGCGUUUGGUUUGGGAUGGGAGGCUUGGAUUUGUGAGUUGUCUUUGAAAUCUCAAAUUGUAGGAUUUUUUGCUCAAUGAUUUCCGCAAUCAUGGUUUAGGGUUCCGGAGGCUUGGGUUUUGUGGGGUUUAGCUUUCAAUGAUUUUCCAUACAGGAUAAUUAAAAACCAUUAUGUAAAUAUUGGAUGCUUGUGUGUGAUUUUUUCUGGAGUUUGACAAGAUGAAUGGGAGUGGGUGGCAAUGUUUGGUGGGCUCUAACUUCGGUUGUUUCUUCCCUCAUUCACCUGGGACUUUCAUAUAUUUUCUCUUGAGACCAUCAAUUUCCUUUUCGCAUAAAUGGUAGUGAAGUAGUUGAAGAGUCCCUAUCUCAUCAUUAUUUUUUUCGGUCGUGAUAUGAACAACUGCAGUGCCAUCACGGUGGAUUCCGCCAUGACAGCCCACGAAGUCUCCUCUUCAUCCUCCUCCAAGUCAAAACUCUGGAAUUACACUGUGUUUUUGAGCUUCAGCGGCGAAACGCGCAAUGGCUUCACCGGCCACCUCCACGCGCAAUUCAAAGACCGGGGAUACCAGGCUUAUAUCGAUGAGGACGAUCUAAAAAGAACAAAAAAAAAUAAAAGAGGAACUGUACCAGGGAAUUGAAGAGUCGAGGAUCUCUAUCAUUGUCUUCUCAAAGAUGUAUGCAGAUUCGAGUUGGUGUCUUGACGAGCUGGUUAAGAUCAUGGAGUGCAGAGACAAACUGGGGCGAGAUGUUUUUCCAAUAUUCUAUCAUGUUGAUCCUUCACAUGUCAGGAAGCAAAAUGGAGAUUUUGCCGAAGCAUUUCAGAAGCACGAAAAGGACAUCCAUGAAGAAAAAGAUGGCAAGACACGUGAAAAGGUAAAGCAGUGGAGAUGGGCUCUUACAGAAGCUGCAAAUUUGUCUGGCUGCCAUCUUAAAAUCACUGACAAUAGGUAAUCAUUCACCUGCUUUUCAAACAUUAUAGUGAAUGACUUAAGGGAUGUAUUCAAUUGGGAUUUUGAGGGAUUUUAAUUCUUUUAAUGAAUUUAGGGGUAUUCAAUCAGGAUUUUAAGUGAUUCUCUGAAAUAUAAGGUGUAUUCAAUUAGAAUUUUAAGUGAUUCUCUGAAAGUUUAUAGUAAAUGACUUAAUCUCUCAUAUAAUUGAUCAUGCUUAAUUAAUACACCUUAAUCUCUCAUAUAAAACCAAACCGUAAAUGGAGUUUAAUUAAUAAUGACUUUCGUUCUUUUAAUUAAUCACACACACACAUAUAUAUAGAGGAAUCCUUUAACAACAAGAGGGAUCCUCAUUUUACAAAAUUACGCCUGCGAAUUUGGUUCAGUCAGGGAUCCUCAUUUUACAAAAUUACGCCUGCGAAUUUGGUUCAGUCAGAUUUGAAUUGUUUUUGUUUUAGGGGCUUUUACAUCCAAAUAUUUUUUAUGAAGUCUUGAGAUACUAAAGUAAUCUUCUGACAUUCUAAUAUUAAUUAAUUAAAAUAUAAUUAAUAGAAAAUUAGAUUAUAAGCCCUAAAUAAGAUCUAUUUUUCGUUAAAGUUGAGUGUAAGAUUAAAUAUACUGAUUUUGGUCCUUUGACUUUAUAAAAGUGUGCAAGGGUAUUUAAUGUGACGUGAUAAUGAGUUUUAGAAUCAGGGACUAAAGUUAGAUUUAUAAAUGUAUCCUAGUUAUAAUGAAAAAAUAAUCUUAUUUAGGUCCUUAAGUCUAAAUGCCCCUAUAAUUAACAUGCUUAAUUAAUAUUUUACAGAAGCCAAACAUUUAUUAGUGUGCUUAAUUAAUACACCUUAACCUCUCAUUUUACACUCCCAACUUUCUAUAAAAAAAGGUCGUACCCAGUGCACAAGGCUCCCGCUUUACGCAGGGUCUGGGAGAGGUGAAUGUCGGCUAGCCUUACCAACUUUCUAUAAUUAGAAAAAAAAAUAUGUUUGUGAGAAGUGUAGAAUAAGAUUUUUAGAGUGUUAAUAACAGUUUCCUUAAUUAAUACAACUAACUUUUAUAAAUCAAUGAAUGACUGUUUCUUUUAUUCAGUUAGGUCACAAAAUCACAUGCUAGUAGCAGCCAGGUAGUGUGUGCGUGUGUGUGUGUAGGAAAGAAAUUUGUUUAUGUACUGAUAACUCCUGCUUUGCCUUCAUUGAGUCCCACUAAUGAAUACGAAUUCAAUUUUCAGGCACGAAGCAACGGUUAUAAGAGAAAUUAUUGACAAGGUUAUUACGAACUGGCUUUCGACCAUAAACAUAUUACCAGUGGCCAAGCACCAAGUUGGAAUCGAUUCUCGGAUUAAAGAUAUUAUCACUUAUCUUUCAAGUGAUGGAUCAGAUGAUGUUCUCAUGGUUGGAAUUUGGGGGAUGGGUGGAUUAGGUAAAACAACAGCUGCGAAAGCCAUUUUUAACAAAAUUCAUCAUAAGUUCAAGUUCAAAUGUUUCCUUGCCGACGUUCGCGACAAUACAAGUAAACAUGGCCUGGCUUACUUGCAAGAAAAACUUAUUUUUGACGUCUUGAAAGAGAAGUCUGAAAUAAGCAGUGUUGAUAAAGGUAUCAGUCUGAUAGAAGAUCAAUUUUCACAUAGAAAGGUACUUGUCAUCAUAGACAACAUAGAUGAAGUGGAACAACUAAAUGCAAUAGCUGGAGAUCACAAAUGGUUUGGUCCUGGAAGUAGAAUUAUCAUAACGACACGAGAUGAACAUUUACUAAAGCAAGGGAAAGUGAACAAGACAUAUCCGGCCCAGGAAUUGAAUAAAGAAGAAGCUCUAAAGCUCUUGAGUUGGCAUGCCUUUGGAAAUCGACGGCCUAACGAAGGAUUUCUUGAACUCUCAGAAAAGUUUGUUUCUUACUGUGAUGGUUUGCCACUAGCCCUCGAAGUUUUAGGUUCUUUUUUGGUUAAAAGACCCAUUGCAGAGUGGGAAUGUGAAUUGAAGAAAUUGAAAACAACUCCUGAAGGAAAAAUAAUAAAACCACUAAGAAUAAGCUUUGAAGGGCUAGAUGAGACACAGAAGGCUAUAUUCCUUGACAUAUGUUGUUUCUUUAUUGGAGAGGACAGGGACUAUGUCACAAAAGUAUUAGAUGAAUGUGAAUUUUUUGCAACAAUAGGAAUCAGUGUCCUCUGUGAACGAUGCCUUGUAACUGUUGAACGCAACAAGUUGAAUAUGCAUGAUUUGCUUCAAGAAAUGGCCAGAGUAAUCAUUUCUGAAAAAUCUCCUCGUCAGCCUGAAAAAUGGAGUAGGUUGUGGAAUCCUCAAGAUGUCACCAAUGUAUUAACAAAGAAAUCUGUAAGUACAUUCCCAAUUUAAUUUUGACAUAAUGCAUUGUACAAGAAAAGCAUAUAUGUAACCAUGCAUAUGUCUAUUAUACAUUAAAUAACAUUCAUGUGUAAAUAUGUGCGGUUGCACAAAGAAUGUUAAACUAGCCAACAAUAGUACUUUCAUAUAUUCAUCGUAUGUGAAUUUGUGUAAUGAAUAGUAAUACAGGUAAACAUAUGCAAAUAAUCCGUUUCUUACCACUAUAACCUUUUUCUGUUAACAGGGAACUGAAGAAGUUGAAGGACUUGCUCUACAUUUCCCUAACAAGUCUAGUUGUUUCAGUACAGAAGCAUUUGCCCAUAUGAAUAAACUGAGACUGCUUGACCUCGAGAACGUAGAGCUCAAUGGAGAAUAUGAACAUCUUCCCAAAGAGUUAAUAUGGUUGCGCUGGCAUAGAUGCCAUUUGCAGUCCAUACCGGAUGACUUUUUUAAUCAAGAUAAACUAGUGUUUUUAGAGAUGAUCGGCAGCAGUCUGGUAAAUGUUUGGGAGGGUUCCAAGGUACAAUCAAUUACACAAAAUGAUGUUGUGUUUCUAUUUUGUUUUUGGAUUUCCUUCUCUUUUUCAUGUCAUCUUUCUUUUGGAUAUUAAUUUUAAUUUUUCUUUGCUUUUCUGCAACAGUCGCUUCAGAACUUGAAAAUCAUUAAUCUCAGUGGUUCCAGUUUCCUAAUUACAUCACCGGACUUUUCACAAGUCCCAAAUCUUGAAGAGUUGAUAUUGGAUAGCUGUAUAAGUUUGUUAGAGAUUCACCCCUCCAUUGGUAAUCUUACAAGACUCUCUUUGGUGAACCUUGAAGGAUGUCACAAGCUUGUUUCUCUUCCAAGGGAUUUCUAUAGGUGGAAAUCUGUGGAGACUGUUCUUCUUAAUGGUUGUUAUCAAUUCAGAUUCAGAGAACUGCAUGAGGAUUUAGGGGAGAUGGAAUCAUUGAGAGUACUUAAGAUGAGACAGACAUCCAUAAGUCAACUACCACAUACCACAGUAAGAUUGAAGAAACUCACUCAUUUAUCUUUAAUGGCAGCGCCUUGUGGUGAGCGUUCAUAUGCUUACGGUCUGCCAAGCUUCAGUGGUGAUCAAAUCACCAACAUUCAUAUCAUUCGUCACACAAUGGGCGCAUUAAAUGAUGAUGGAGUCCCCAAGGAUAUUGGGAGUCUAAUUUCUUUACAAUAUUUGGAUCUUGGAGGGAAUGACUUUCAUACCCUACCAAGCUUCAGUGGUCUUUCAAAGCUUGAAACUCUACGGUUAAGUAAAUGCAAGUUUCUUCAUACAAUCCCCGACUUACCAACAAAUUUGAAAUUUCUGGAUGCCAAUGGUUGCCCUGCAUUGGAAACAAUGCCUAAUUUUUCAGAAAUGACAAAUAUGAGAGAACUGCAUGUAAGUGAUUCAUGCAAACUCACUGAGGUUCCAGGCCUGGAUAAGUCAUUAAACUCCAUGACAUUGAUUCAUAUGAGUAACUGCACCAAUCUCACAGCUGAUUUUAAGAAGAACAUCCUACAGGUUCCCCUCUCUCCCUCUCCCCUAAGUUAAUUGCCUUCCUAUCGAGCGCAUGCACACACAAACGCAUAUGUGCAUGUAUAUAUAUGACACUUGUUAUUGUAUAUGUAGGGAUGGACUUCCUGCGGACUCGGUGGAAUUUUCCUCCAUUGGAGUUAUGUUCCUGAUUGGUUUGAGUUUGUCAAUGAUGGCAAUAAAGUCAGUUUUGAUUCCCCCUAGUGAUGAUCGUAAUUUUGAAGGACUGACUCUGUUCUGCAUUUCCCAAUUUUCUUCCACUCUUGCCAUUACUAUUAUAAAUAAUACCAAGCAUACUAAGUUGCGGGAGACCAUCACAAUCAGAUUACAUGUGCGUGAUUAUCUUUGGCAGGGACAUAUACCGAACGAUAAGCUCAAUUUGCAAAGCGGGGAUAAAGUUGAUGUAAUUUUUGGAGACAGUGAUUAUCCUGAUAGAAUGGAGAGAACAGGAGUUAAUCUAGUAUGGGACAAACCUGUAAAGUAAAACAUGCAUGAUUUGCAUGGUGCUGGUUAUGUUUUUGACCCAUAUCCACCUCGGUUCUAUGGUGAGGCAGCACCAAGCCAUGACGCAUCUGAUAAUAAUCAUCCCAGUAAUCAAAUGGGAAUUACUACAGAUGACAGAAUGGAAAAGGGCAAAAAUUGUGAAGUGAAAGCAUCACCUGUCUAGGUUAAGUCUCAUCAGAUUGGUUCUAGGGUGAGGCACUAUCAAGGCGGUGAUGCAUCGUCAUCAUCAAGCUCAUCCUCAUCAUCACAUAUCUGAGUUCUUGGUCUACAGAUCACAGCUAGCUUCGUCAUCAGCAAGUCAACAUUUCAUAUUUCUUUCAGAUUCUUGUGAUUUUUCCAGUAAGUAAUUGUUUUGAAUUUUGAAGAUAUAUUGCAUUCAGAAACAUUUCAGCAUUACAAAAACCCAUACAAGUCAAGCAUCCAAUGAUUCAAGAAAUACCACUCGAAUUCACAGAAAUACUUGCCCUACAAAUGCAUGUUCUCAUUUUACUAGCGUAACCGUACUUAAUAGUCAACACUGGACAUUACUUAAACUAAGAUACUUGCAAUUCAAGAAGGCCAUACCUCCACUGUGAGAUACAUAGGCAUCUGUUUCUUCUUCCUUAGGGUUUUCGUCUGCAAGACCAGCUUUGAAUGGGGAAGCGUCACUCUUAUCGUCCAUAAUAAUUCUUUUCUCACUCUCUUCACCCACAACAUUUUUGGUCUGCAUAAAAAGAACAUUACUACAUUAGCUUCUUAAAGUUACAUUUGUACGGCAGGAAAAAAAAAAGAGCACAAAUUUUCUAAAAAGAUUUUGGGACAAAUAAGACUUACAACUGAUUUCGAAAGAUUCUGUAUUUUCCACCAGGUUCUGCCUCACAUGGCUGUCUCUGAUCACCUUCUUAAGCUCUUCAUUUCCACUCUUCAAAAACCCAUCAGCAAAACGCCUCAGUUUUUCAAAUUCCGUCACAGAAAUGUGUUUUUUGUUCAAGUGAAUCGUACUGUGAAGCUUCCUGCAACUUGCCAAGCAUGACAAGAGAGCAUGCAGAUCAAGAGCUCCUUUGAACAAGUCUUUGGCAAUGUCUUUCGGCUGCUGCCAUUCGAACCUCAUCCCAUUCGACUAGGAAUCAAUCGUGCGGUUCAGCUUCUGAGCCCCUCUGGACACUUCCAUGAGCUGAAAAGAUGAAGGGAUCUGAUACUCCCCUGUGAUCACAACAUCCUUCUCCGCCUUGUGAUCCAAACUUGGUUAUCGAGUUCUUCGACUUUCCAUCUUCUGCUCUGUUUUCAGGGAACCACUACGAUUUUCUAGUCAUCCCACAACCAACAAUUCCUUUUGGAUCAUCACAUGUAACAAAUGAUCCGUACACAGCUGAUCUCAGAUUGUCUUGAAGCAUAUUCUGUGACACAAAAUUACAGUCACUAGAAGUCGGAACAUGUCAGAUGCUACGAAAAUCUCUAAAAUCCAAUUAAGUGAGCAUGUAAAUGCAUGGUCUUGGAUAUUCUAGUCAAUUGUUCCGAAAGUCGCCGGUAUCGGACAUGAAAUACACUUGGUUGGUUCUGUUUUGGGGAGAGACUAGAGAGACAGGCCAAAUAAACAAUUUGGUGCUGCCAACAAAGAGUGAGCAGCUAAUAUGAUAUAUAUGAGCAAAAAGCAAUCUCGAAGAAAGAGAAGGAAGCCUUGAUCUCAUUAGCUACUGCAUUAAACAGAUGCAUCAAGAAAAAUCCACACACAACGGACAAAUUAGCGUAAAAGUACAUGAAAUAGGCUCAGUCCAAAACUUAUAAGAGGCUAAGUUGUACAUUUGUUGAAUUCAUCUAGCGAGGGAUAUUUCUCUAUCUUAUCCAACUAUUCCUUUGCCUGUAAGAAAACUCCUAGAGUUCAAACAAAUUAUAUACUUCUGCUUUCGGAAAGAGAGAAAAAUAGAUUAUAAAUACAUGCCAAUGAUUAAAAUUUAAGUUCCUAUCACCGCCAAAGCAUUCCAUCAUUCAACGUACCUCAUGGCUCAACCUAAUAAAUUUAACAACUACUCUCAGCUCUAAAUCUAAAGAAUAAUCAGAAAUCCAACAACAGUUGGAGGUCCAUACCAUUUUCCAAGUUCUUUAUUAAUGUGAAUGAUUAUGUUAUUCUGAUUAGGAACUUAAGUGAAUAAAUCGUUUUCGAAUUUGUAAACAAAUAAUUGCUUACAAAAUAAUGAACUCUGUUAAACAAAAAUAAUUGCUUACAUUAGAGAAUAACUAUAAAUAUUAUUGUAAAGUUUAUAUUUAAAUAUUUUUAAUUUAUAUAAAUCGAUAGGUUGCUAUUGCAUUCGGAAAGGGAUCCUCGCCGGAAAUUUUGUGAUCGUGGCCGUUCAUCGUGUAGUAAAAAAUCAUUUGAAAUAUAAAAUUUAAAAUUAAAUAUAAAUAGUACUUAACAAAAAUUAACUGCACGAUAUACGAUGAACGGUCACGAUCACGGGAUCCCGAAAUCCCCAGAAAAAUGAUCCCGCUGGGAUCAUUUUCCAUCGCAUUCUAUGCCUAAAUCAAAUCAUUAACUUGAACCAUGCUCUUCAUAUGGGAACUGUGCAUUUUUCUUAUUUGAAUUAGUAGGGUUUGUAUUUUUGUUUUUCAAGUUUGAUUUUGUGGGAUUUCAUUUUGAUAGAUAUUUCAGAAUUUCAGAAAGCAGGUGUGAUUUGAUCGGCAACCUGAAUUACAGAGGUUUGAUUACAGGUACACUACAAGUUACCUCACUUUUCUACCAAGUGUCUGCUGCUUUUUCCAACAGGAAAAGAUUAGCUUGGUUUGAUCACUUAUUUGGAUUGUGUAGAUUGGUUUGAUCUCUUAAUUUGUGUUGUGCAAAUUUUGUUUGAAUUAAUUUGGGUUGGGCAGAGGAAGCAAAUAAUUUUUUUAAUUAAUAAAUUUAGUUUGGUCUGUACAUAUGCUAAUGAAUAUUAUUUACCAAAGUAUGAACAUGUCAAGAAACUGUUCGUUACAAACUAUUCAAUAACUUCUUAUAAGUAUCAAUGGUUAGAUUUCUACUGUUCUACUUUCAAUCUUAAACAUCCAGUGAUCAGAUUGUGGCGUCGUGGUGUUUCACUGGAAACGUCCUUCCCUUAAUAAUUUUUUUCAAAAAGCAACUCAUGCUUUUCCAUUUUGUUUUGUACUUCAAAAAGCAGCUCUGCUUUUCCACUUUAGUUUUUUGUUUCCACCGUCCUAUUAUAUGUUAGGGGUGGGCACUUGAAACCGAAAACUGCAACCGAAACACGAACCAAAUCGAACCAAACCGAACGGUUUGGUUUUGCAGUUUCAAAACGGUUUCGGUUUGAAACCAAACCGAAUAGGAGAAAAACGGUUUGGUUUCGGUUUCGGCCCUCCGAAACCGCAUACCUUUAUUAAAUGUUAAAUUUUAAUUGAUUAUUUUCAUUGAGUCCAUACAUUUAGUAUGGACUCAACCACAUCAUAACAUGGCCACAUAACAUACCAUUUUAUUUUCUUUCUUCUAGUCCCGUAGUCCGUGGACUAAGACUUUGUGUUCUCUUUCUCAAGUUUCUCAGGUUUAUUCAUCUUUCUCAAGUACAUUUAGUAUGGACUUUCUUUAUGUUACACUUUCUGUGUGUUUGCAACUUUACUAAAACACAUCUACCACCUUUUGUUGUUAAAAAAAUUUCACAUAGUUUGAUUGGUAGGUUCUACCAAAACCAGAGUUAUUACUUAUUAUAAUCUUUUUUAUGUUUGGGUUUGCAGUACUGGCAUUGGAGAUUUGAUGUGCUCUUAGUUGCCUCAAGUUGAAUUAUUUUGUUGUGGUCCUUAUGGAUGUGAAUUUUGUUGUCAUCAAUUAGGUAACCAUAAUAGUUUUUUCAAACAAUGAAACCAAACCGAAACCGUUUGAAACCAAACCAAACCGAAUCAAAUGGUUUGGUUUCAUUUCGGUUUUAGCCUCAAAACCGCACCGAACCAAACCGCAAAAACUUGCGGUUUUGGUUUUGGUUUCACUCAAAACCACACCAAACCAAACCGUGCCCACCCCUAUUAUGUGUCGGUACACUUUUGUCUAGGGGUGGGCAUGGGUAGGGGCGGGCCUAUUUUUGAAAGGAUCGGACCGGACCCGAAAUAAAGGGAGAUGGGUCGGGUCGGGCCGGGCCAGGCAUUACAAAUCUUAAAAUAGGAACCGGACCUUACCUGGUCCGGUUGAAACGAGCCGGUUCGGUCCGGGCCCACGGGUCCUCUUUUUUUUUCACUGUUUAAAAAAAUUGCACAGAAUAUUGUAGUUUGCAAACUGCACAGAUUGCAGUUUGCACAGAACACAGAUUGAAGUUUGCAGUUUGCAAACUGCACAGAUCGCAUUUUGCACAGAACACAGAUUGCAGAUUGCAGUUUGCAGUUUGCAAACUGCACAUAUUGCAUUUUGCAUAGAACACAGAUUGCAGUUUGCACAGAACACAGAUUGCAGUUUCUAGUUUGCACAUAUUGCAGUUUCCAAUUUGCAUAGAUUGCAGCUUGCAAUUUGCAUAGAUUGCAGUUUGGCAUCAUUCAAAGGCAUUACACCACCUAUUAAAGAAAGUUACCCAGAAGAAGAGUUUUUUUUAAGCCAAUCCGCUCUCCAAGCAAGCAACUCUCUGAUCCACCACAAGCAGCUAAGUGAAAUGGUGUACUUCCAGGGUAGUUGCACAUAUAUGGAACACAUAGAUUGAAAAACGCAGUAAACACAAAUCUAAAAAAUGCAGUAAACACACAGAUUGAAAUCCCGAUCCCAAUCCCAAUCCCAAAUUCCAAUCAAUAACCAAAUCGCAACACAAAUCCGAAAUCUCAAAUCCCAAAUCCCACUCCCAUCCAAUCAUUCACCCAAAUGUUCAUGCAUUCAUCAACUCCCACCUACAGUUUCUAGUGCUACUGAUCCUCCGCAUCCACAAAAAUAAAAUUCGGAGAAGACAGAAUUAGACUUACGAUAGACGACGAAGUAACAGAUGUCGUUGAGGUCUGAGGAUGGUUGAAUGGGUGGUGGUGGUGUCGAUAUGUUGGUCGCAGCGGUGGUGAUGGGCGUUCUCUGUCGUCGGAGUCAAGUCGAGUCGAGGGAUGGUGGGAGGGAGUGAGAGAGAGUGAAAGUCGUGAAAGUCAUGAAACUGAAACAACAAUCUCUGGAAGUGAAACCCUAGGUUAGAAAUUAAUGGUUCAGAUUGCAUGAUAUGUUAUCAAUCAAUCUCAACCAUUGAUUAUAAUUAGAAAUGGGCCGGUCUGGGGCCUCAUUUUUCUAAGGUUUAGGAACCGGCCCGCCCCGUCUGUUCCCAAAAUAAACAAGGCCCGGCCCGUACCCAGCCCAAACCUACACUACCUGCCCCUACCCGUGGGCCCAGGGCCCAUUUGCCCACCUCUACUUUUGUCUCCCUAAGGCUGAAGGUGCUUUACUUUGAAUAAGAAUUAGUUUAAUCAUUGAUUAACGUUAUUAAUUUCAAAUUUUAUUCUAAUAAUAUGGUUUGUCUAUUUAUUAUAAGGAAAUGCUGAGGAGAUUUGCUCAAAAAUGAGACUUUUUAUGGACUCUUUGUCACCUCAUAUUUUUUACACAAUAUUUUGAUAAUGUUGACAUAAAAAUUUUGCCAAAAACAUGAGGUGGCGGAGAAUUCAUCAAGAGUCUCACUUUGAAGAAUCUUCUUAGGAUUUCUCUUUAUUAUAUAUAAUAUUUAGAUUAUUGAGUUUGUUUGAACUUUAGCAUAAUUGAUAUUUAAAGAGUAAUAACAAAAAUAAAAGAUUUAAAUUACAACAUUGCAAAAUAAAAAACAAAAUAAAACAUAGAGAGAGAAAAUUUAAAUGAGAAUGUCUUAAAAAGUUUGAAUAUUAAAAUGGCUAAAUGACAAAGCAAUUGAAAGAACAGACUGAAUGAAUUUUCGUAUCUCAUUGAUAAUCUUUACAGUACAAAUACAAUAUAUACACAAUUGGGGCAAACAAUUAACCCUUCAUCAAUGUCCUAGAAAAUCGUAUCCCUCUCUUGGUGGGAUUUGACAGGUAAAUAUAUUACAAAAUAUUUCUUAGGAUAAGGAUUGUCUGCCCUCCUAGUUGUGGUGACCUUCUAUACCCUCCUAUUUUAUGCGGUCACGGUUAAGCCACGUCAAUAUUUUAUAUUUUUAUUAUUUUUUAUCUUAUUAUCUUAUUAAAAAAUUAAUAUAAAAUAUUAACGUGGCUUAACCGUGACCGCACAAAAUAGAAGGGCAUGGAAGGACACCACAACUAGGAGGGCAGACAAUCCAAAUCCUAUUUCUUAAUAGAAUGUGACUAACAUUGGUUGGGAAGUAGUGUAAGAGGAAAUAUAAUAAGGUAGAUCUUAAUUGUUUCUGCCCUCGUUGUCUUGAAAAGCACACGCGGAGCUUCUCUCUUUAACGUGAAUAAAGCAUCUUUCAGAGUUUCCAAGAAUUUUUAAGAAAGUCUUUAUCCUUUUGUGUUCCUUUCUUUCCUCUUUUCCUCUGUUCACCUUCUCGCCCAACGGUAUGUUGUUUCUCAAGUCAAUACCUAAAGAUUAUUACAUUAUAAACUUCUGUUUUUGUGGAUUAAAAGAUCUUGACUUGGGUUUAGGUGUUUCAGUAUCAUCGGUUUGGCAACACAAACACAACCACUGCUACAUUUUUCAGUCGUAAUCUGAACCACUACAGUGCUAUACAGUGGAUAUAGCCAUGGCAGCCCACGGAGUCUCAUCUUCAUCAUGCUCCUCAAAACUCUGGAAGUACGACGUGUUCUUGAGCUUUAGAGGCGAAGACACACGUAAGGGCUUCACGGGCCAUCUCCAUCAAGCAUUGGAAGGAAAGUGCUACAAGACCUUUAUUGAUGAGGACGAUCUGAAAAGAGGGGAAGAAAUAAAGCCCGAACUGUUGCGAGCCAUCGAAGAGUCAAGGAUCUCUAUGAUUGUCUUCUCAAAGAGGUACGCGGAUUCGAGUUGGUGUCUCGACGAGUUGGUGAAGAUCAUGGAGUGCAGAUCCAAACUGAAGCAACAUGUUUUGCCAAUAUUCUAUGAUGUUGAAGCUUCAGACAUCAGGAAGCAGGAAGGUAGUUUAGCCCCAAUGUUUCAGAAGCACGAAGACAACAUCUGUAAAGAAGAAGAUGACAAAAAACGGGAAGCCAAGAGAGAAAGGGUAAAGCAAUGGAGAGAGGCUCUUACUGAAGCUGCAAACUUGUCUGGCCACGAUCUUAAAAACACUGAGAACGGGUAACUAUUUUUUUUAUUCAACUUUGAUUAUUUAACUGAAAAUUUAGCUUUCCCCCAUAGAACUCCUUUUUCUUUGCGAUUAACCCAUCAUAUAUAUUUUUCCAGACUGCACGUCGUAUUUGUGUCUCUUCCCCUCCACUUAACUCUAGAAUUAACACUGUCAAUUAUUAUAUGUAAGUUACAUAUAAUAAUUGAAGUAAAUAAUGUAACUAAUAAAAAAAAAAAAAACCUAGGAAUUGAAGUAAAUAAACACGAACACCCGACAACCACACCCAAACACCGAAAACCCAUCCUCUAUCGCUUUAUUACCUUCCCUUUCACCUUCACUUUCACUUUCACACGUUCAUUUUCCUCUACUCUUCAUCCUUUCUAUCUCUCUCCUCACACUCACUCCCUUCACCGUCGUCGUCAAAGCCUAUGAUUUCCGGCUUCAAAUCGCGGUGAAGGGUCGAGAUGAGCGGCUGCGAUUGAAGGUCGAUUUGUUGCCAUAUCUGCUCGGCAUCGAAUCCGUCUAUCAAGACCUGAUGUAACGGCGAUUUGGGAGUGAUUAGCGCUCGGGACUGCUUGUGCUGUGUAUUAAUAUUUUUUUUGGUUGAAAAGGAGAUGAAAAACGGAAUGGGUUUAGGGUUUGGGGUCUCUCAGUGAGAAAAUCGCAGAGAGAUGGUCAAACUUCAAAAUAACUUCUCUUUUUAACGAAAAUGUCUUUUUAAAAGUAUAGUAAAUAGUGAUAAGUAAAGGUUAAAAUUGUUUUUAUUGCUAAUCUAUCGUGACGAUAAGCUCAUUCUUUCUUCUUCAGUGUAGAUAAUAUCGUUUGUUCAUAAAAAACAGUGACAAAUAUUUUUAUAAAAAUAAUACACGAAUUUAAUUACAAAGUUUUGUUUGAAAAAAAAAGUGACAGAAAUAUUUUUAUAACAAUUAAUGGACAAAUUGAAUUACACAUGUAUAACGUGUGGGCAUAUGACUAGUAGUUUUAUUUUUAUGUUGAUUAAACGAUUUUAUCUUGGCUUAGUCUCAUAAUAGGCUAGCAAUAAUGUUGUUUAAAUUUGCUUUUGGCGAUAAUCGAACUUAAGACCUGUCACUUACAAUUGAAGAAGAAUAUCACUAUAUCGUAAUAAUAAGUGACGACUAAUAGUUAACAAUGUUAACUUUAAAAUUAAGUGAAAUGACAUAUGUAAAUAAAAAUAGUAAAAAGACACAUGCAACUAGGGACAGCAGACCCUUGGUCAUUGACUGGGCUUUAACUAGAAAAAUUAAUUAAAUUUGCUUUAUGACUCUGAUUACAUAAUUUUGUAGUCCGAAAGCCCCUUAUUAUGUGAUGAUACAUUUAGUUAUGUUUGUUUGUAAAUUUGACUAAUUAAUUAUUGUUUUAAAUUCCAUAAGAAUUAAAAUUUCGUGUUAAUUUAACGUGCAUAAGCAUUAGUAGGUGAGAUUUUCAAAGUUGUAUGAUAAUAAUUUACCUAUUGAUGCUAGGUAAAUUGUACAUGAUAAUACUCUAUGGGCUUGUUUUGUGGGUCGGAUAGGGAUAGGCUGUCAACCGUUAAAAUGGACUCAAGAGUCCAUUGCCGGGUGUUUGAUGCGAAUAAUGAGCAUUAGGGAUGAUGGGAUUCCAAUUUUGGUUACAAGUCCAGAAAAGGGCUGGUUUCUUAACCUGUUCAUUAACAUGGGAUAUGAGUCAAGGUGGGGAUGGUCGUCGCGGGCAGCGGCGUGGGGUCGUCGUAAGCACAGACCCAACAUUCUAGAAAUGAACUUUCUCCAAUGACUCUUCUACCACCGUCGAUUACGAUGACAAUUACUGCCAUCCCCACCUGUCUUCGAUUGUCUUCUCCUUCGCCUCCUCCCCCGUCCAGUAAUUUUCUGCUAUCCUUUUUGCAUUUUCCUUGAUUUCAAUUGCUUUGUUUCCGUUUCUGGAAUAUUGGGUUUAGUGCGUGGGGUCGAUCUUUCUGUGUUUUCUUUGCACUUCUACUUUUCAAUCCAAUCCUAAUCUAGUUGGGAUAGUCUACACCAAACAGUAGAUGAAUAGCCCAACCCAUCCCAGGCAAUCGUAACCUAACCACUCCACCAAACGUGCCCUAUAGGUAAAUAACUUGCCCAUACUAUCCAGGUGAAUAUGCAAUAUAUAGGUAAAGAGAGCUAUUAGACUCAUUCUGGUGUCUUAUUUUUCCACUUAUGUUAUAUUUACAUCUAUUAUAAAAAGUUAAAUGUAUUUUCUCACCCACUAUUAUCCCUAAAAUAACCCUAUACGUAUAUAAUUAGAGAUAAAUAAUGUUAUUCUCUUCUAAAAACCAGAAAAUAAUAAUAAAUAAAUAACCGUUUCCUUUCCAAAUUCCAAUUGGGGUGGGAAUGAAGAAUUCUGGGUUUUCAUUCUUUGCUUUUCCCCUUUUGUUUUCUUUUUCAUAUGCAUUUUCCAUUUUUUGCCAUCCAAGGAAAAGUUCAAAAAUAAAGAAACAGGAAUAUAUUUGUUUUCAGAGUUCACUUCGGUUUCAAAAUUAGAAUAAUUAACUGAAACCAAAUGUUCGAAAACGAACCAAGGAUGAAGAAAUGGAGUUCAUCACCAUCAAAAGGCUUUCAAACAAUGUGUGCCCAAUAUGAAGCAAAUGGUAUGAGAUUUGUGUUUCACCUUCUGGUUAUUCGAAGGGCAAUUAAUUAUAUAAAAUUCAACAAUACUGUUGAAAGGAAAAGAGGGAAACGGUUAUUAAGGGAAAACUCAUUAAAAACAAAUUUACCCUAACCUAAUAAAAACGAAUUUCAAAAAUUCUCAUAGGAAAACGUGAAACAAAUUGCAUCCUGAUCUAAUGCAAAUUCAAAUAAAAAGUUACAGAGCUAUGCUUCAAUUGUACAAUGUCGACAAAUCAAAAUGACCCACAUAAAAUUAUCUUUUACCUCUUCUAUGGAAACAUAAACAUCUACUUCUUCCGUAGAAACGUCAUCUUCUAAGUUUAUUAUUUUUGUUUUCUCUGAAUGAUUUUGCUUUCUCUGAAUGAAAUGAGAUGAAAAUGAUGAGUUAGGGUUUAAGGGAGACAAAUUUUCUAAACAUAGCGUAAGAGUUAUCACACCCAAACUUUUAUUUUUUAUAUAAAAAAAAUUAAUGCAAAAAGGGGUAAUUAAGGUCUUUAUUAGUCAUUUUAUAAAUGGACAAAUUUGUAAUUAAAAAUUUUAUAAAAAGGUGGGUGCAAAGAUAAGACAUUGGGAUGGGAAUAACACCUCUCAUAGGUAAAUUACUCAAAAAACAAAUUGUACAAUUACAAUAAGCCCACAAUCCACAAAUUUAAAAGGUAAAUUAGUGACUAUGCAAUCUAAUUAAAUUAGUGAAUAUAUGUAUAUACACACACACACACACACACACACACACACACAAUAUACAGUCUUGCAGAUUACGAGAAGCUCAAAAUGCAUAGAUUAUAGUUAUUGAACACGCAAUACAAUAUUUAAAACACACAAAGAAAAUAAGGUAAAAGACUAUUUACUACCCUCAUGUUUUGUGGUUUUCAACAUUUAGUACAUCAAGUUUUUUUCGUCUCAGAUUCAUACCUAAAGUGUAAAUUUUGGGACAGUCUCAUACAUCUGUUAGUCAAACUGUUAAAUUUGCCGUUAAUUGUGACGUGGCGCCAUGAUUGGACGCCACAUGGCAUCCACGUUUUUUUUUUCUUUUCUUCUUUCUUCUUCUUCCUUCUUCUGCAACUUUUUUUUUCUUUUCUUUUCUUCCUUCUUCUCCUUCUUCCUUUCUCCUUCUUCCUUUCUCCUUCUUCUCCUUCUACCUUCUUCUUUCUCCUUCUUCUUCUUCUUCCUCCGAAUCUGGGGAAGUUUUUUUUUUUUUUUUUUUUUCUUCUUCUUCUUCUUCUUCUUUAUUCUUCUUCCUCCUUUUUUCUCUUUCUUUUUCUUCUUCUUUUUCCUCCGACUACAACUUUUGUUUUUUUUCUUCUUCUUCCUUCUUCUUCUUCUUCUUCCUCCGAAUCUGGGGAAGAUGAAGGUUUUUUUUUUUUUUUCUUCCUCCUCCUUCUCCUUCUUCCUUCUUCUUCCUCCGAAUCUGGGGAAGAUGGAAGGUUUUUUUUUUUUUUUCUCCUUUCUUCUUUCUUCUUCCUUCUCAUUCCUCCUUCUUCCUUCUUCUUCUUCUUCUCCCUCCGACUGCAACUUUAUUUUUUUUCUUCCUCCUUCUUCUCCUUCCUCCUUCUUCCUUCCCCUUCUUCUCCUUCUUCCUUCUUCUUUUUCUUCUUCCGUAAAAAAAAAAAAAAAAAAAAAAAACCUUCAUCUUCCCAAGAUUUGAGGAAGAAGGAGAAGAAGGGGAAGUAAGGAGGAAGGAAGAAGGAGAAGGAGGAAGAAAAAAAAAACUUCCCCAGAUUCGAAAGAAGAAGAAGAAGAAGGAAGAAAAAAAAAAAACUUCCUCAGAUUCGGAGGAAGAAGAAGGAGAAGGAGAAGGAAGAAGAAGGGGGAAGGAGGAAGAAAAAAAAAAGUUGCAGAAGAAGGAAGAAGAAGAAAGAAAAAAAGAAAAAAAAAACGUGGAUGACACGUGGUGCCCAGUCAUUGCGCCACAUCACAAUUAACGACAGAUUUAACAGUUUGAUUAAUGGAUGUAUGAGACUGUCUCAAAAUUUACACUUUAGAUAUGAAUCUGAGACGAAAAAAACUUGAUGUACUAAAUAUUGAAAACCACAAAACAUGAAGGUCAUAAACAGUCUUUUACCCAAGAAAAUAAUUAGCUUUUAUUGUCUAGAUUGUGUAGGUUAUCUAAUGGCGUAAGAACAAAUUUGAUAAUAGGUGUUACUGGUAUAAGUUGUAAAUAAUUUUUAAUAAUAAGGUCACUUAUUUUUCUAUGUGACAACUUAAGUAAUAAUAGGUCACUUGUUGAUAUAUUUCUUCUAAUUAGUUAAUCCUUGCAAAUAGUUAGUCACUGCAAGUUUGCACCGCCAUUUAUAUUUUCUUACAAAUUGUUUUUUCAGGCAUGAAGCAAAGCUUAUUAAGAAAAUUAUUUAUGAGAAUCUUUGGAAAUGGCUCCCCAGAACAAAAAAAUUACAUGUGGCCAAGUUCCCAGUUGGAAUCAAUUCUCGUGUUCAAGAAAUUAUCACUUAUCUUUCAAGUGGUGAAGGAAAUAAGGUUCUCAUGGUUGGAAUUUGGGGGAUGGGUGGAUUGGGUAAAACAACAGCUGCCAAAGCCAUUUAUAACCAAAUUCAUCAUGAGUUUGAACUCAAAAGUUUCCUUGCCGACGUUAGCGACGCUACAAGUAAACAUGGCCUGGUUCAUUUGCAAAAAACACUUAGUUUUGACAUCAUGGAUCAAGAGAUUAAAAUAAGCACUGUUGAUGAAGGUAUCUCUUGGAUAGAAGAGCAAUUUUCACAUAGAAAGGUACUUGUCAUUAUGGACAACAUAGAUGGAGAGGAACAACUCAAUGCAAUAGCUGGAAAUCACAAGUGGUUUGGUCCAGGAAGUAGAAUUAUCAUAACGACACGAGAUAAACAUCUACUACUAAAAGUGGACAAAGUAUAUCAGGCUCAGAUAUUGAAUAAAGGAGAAGCUCUAGAACUGUUUAGUUGGCAUGCAUUUGGAAAUAGUUGCCCUAAUGAAGAAUAUCUUGAAGUCUCAAAAAAGGUUGUUUCUUAUUGUGGAAGUUUGCCACUAGCCCUUGAAGUUUUAGGUUCUUUUUUGUGUGAAAGACCCCAAAAAGUGUGGAAUGGUCAAUUGGAGAAAUUAGAAAGAACUCCUGAUGGAAAAAUAAUAAAACCACUAAGAAUGAGCUUUGACGGGCUAGAUGAUACGGAGAAGGUUACAUUUCUUAACAUAUCUUGUUUCUUUAUUGGAGAGGAAGAGGACCGUGUUGCAAAAUUGUUAGAUGUAUGUGGAUUUUCAGCAACAGUAGGAAUCAACGUCCUCUGUGAACGAUGCCUUAUAACUGUUGAAGGCAACAAGUUGAAUAUGCAUGAUUUGCUUCGAGAAAUGGCCAGAGUAAUCAUUUCUGAAAAAUCUCCUAGUGACCUUGGAAAAUGGAGCAAGUUAUGGAAUCGUGAAGAUGUAUUGACAUAUAAAUUUAUAAGUACACUCCCAAUAAAAUUUUGGAUUUUUGCAUCGUACAAGAAAAAGCAUAUGUCUAUUAUACUUUAAACAACAUUCAUGUGUAAAUAUAUGCGGUUGCGCAAGGAAAGCUUAAUUAGGCAACAAUAGUACUUGCAUAUAUUCACCGUACGUGAUUUUGCCUAAUAAAUAAUAAUACAUGUAAACAUAUGCAAUCCCUUUCUUACGUAGUAUAACCUUUUGUUAACAGGGAACUAAAGAAGGACUUGCUCUACAUUUUCCUUAUGACAAUACUAGUUUCAGUACCGAAGCAUUUGCCAAUAUGAAGGAACUGAGAUUGCUUCAGCCCAUCAACGUGCUGCUCAAUGGAGAUUACAAACAUCUUCCCAAAGAGUUACUAUGGUUGUCUUGGAGUUCCUUCCCUUUGCAGUCCAUACCAGAUGACUUUUUUAAUCUAGAUAAAUUGGUAGUUUUAGAUAUGAGUUUUAGCAAUCUGGUACAAGUUUGGGAGGGUUCCAAGGUACAAUGAAUUAUACCUGAUGAUGUUGUGUUUCUAUUUGUUUUUUAGAUUUCUUCUUUUUUUUCAUAACAUCUUCAUUUCGGAUAUUAAUUUCAAUUUUCUUUUGAUUUUCUGCAACAGUCGCUACAUAACUUGAAAACCCUUGAUCUCAGCCGUUCCUAUGACUUACAGAAAUCACCGGACUUUUCACAAGUCCCAAAUCUUGAAGAGUUGAUAUUGGAAGGGUGUGAGAGUUUGACCGAGAUUCACCCCUCCAUUGGUCAUCUUAAAAGACUUUCUUUGGUGAACCUUAAAAGUUGUUCCAAUCUUCGUUCUCUUCCAAGGGAUUUCUAUAAAUUAAAAUCUGUUGAGACUCUUCUUCUUAAUAGGUGUUCAAAAUUCAUAGAACUGCAUGAGGAUAUAGGGGAGAUGAUAUCACUGAGAACACUUGAAGCAGAUGGUACAGUCAUAAGAGAAGUACCACCUUCCAUAGUAGGAUUGAAGAAUCUCACUCGUUUAUCUCUGGACGGUACUACGGGUAUUCGAUUAUCCCUUGACCGCAUGAGCUACGUAGAGCUUAAUGGAGAAUACAAACAUCUUCCCAAAGAGUUAAUA
rnacentral:lncRNA from 1 species